GAUGAACGCUGGCGGCGUGCCUAAUACAUGCAAGUCGAGCGAACGGACGCUAAGCUUGCUUCUCUGUUGUUAGCCGCGGACGGGUGUGUAACACGUGUAUACCCUACCUAUCUGACUGGUAUCACUUCGGGAAACCGGCUCUUAUACCGUAUGAUCUUUUGCUCCACAUUGUUCGAUAGUGAGAUACGGUCUUUCUGUCUCUUCUCGCUGGUUCCGGGCUGCAUUAGCUAGUUGGUAAGGUAACGGCUUACCAAGGCAACGAUGCAUAGCCGACCUGAGAGGGGGAUAGGCGACACGGGAACGGAGACACGGACAAGAGUACUACGGGAGGCAGCAGUAGGGAAUCUGACGCAAUGGGGGAAAGCCUGACGGAGCAACGGCGAGUGAGUGAUGAAGGUGUUGGGAGCGGAAAAAUCUGUUAUGAGGGAAGAACAGAUGUGUAAGGAAAUGUGCACAGAUUGACGGUAACGAAUCAGAAAGCAACGGCUAACUACGUG
rnacentral:rRNA from 1 species